rnacentral:rRNA from 1 species
UGGCUCAGGACGAACGCUGGCGGCGUGCUAUACAUGCAAGUCGAACGCUUCUUUUCCCACCGGAGCUUGCUCCACCGGGAAAAGAGGAGUGGCGAACGGGUGAGUAACACGUGGGUAACCUGCCCAUCAGAAGGGGAUAACACUUGGAAACAGGUGCUAAUACCGUAUAACAAUCGAAACCGCAUGGUUUCGUUUUGAAAGGCGCUUUACGGUGCCGCUGAUGGAUGGACCCGCGGUGCAUUAGCUAGUUGGUGAGGUAACGGCUCACCAAGGCCACGAUGCAUAGCCGACCUGAGAGGGUGAUCGGCCACAUUGGGACUGAGACACGGCCCAAACUCCUACGGGAGGCAGCAGUAGGGAAUCUUCGGCAAUGGACGAAAGUCUGACCGAGCAACGCCGCGUGAGUGAAGAAGGUUUUCGGAUCGUAAAACUCUGUUGUUAGAGAAGAACAAGGGUGAGAGUAACUGUUCACCCCUUGACGGUAUCUAACCAGAAAGCCACGGCUAACUACGUGCCAGCAGCCGCGGUAAUACGUAGGUGGCAAGCGUUGUCCGGAUUUAUUGGGCGUAAAGCGAGCGCAGGCGGUUUCUUAAGUCUGAUGUGAAAGCCCCCGGCUCAACCGGGGAGGGUCAUUGGAAACUGGGAGACUUGAGUGCAGAAGAGGAGAGUGGAAUUCCAUGUGUAGCGGUGAAAUGCGUAGAUAUAUGGAGGAACACCAGUGGCGAAGGCGGCUCUCUGGUCUGUAACUGACGCUGAAGCUCGAAAGCGUGGGGAGCAAACAGGAUAGAUACCCUGGUAGUCCACGCCGUAAACGAUGAGUGCUAAGUGUUGGAGGGUUUCCGCCCUUCAGUGCUGCAGCUAACGCAUUAAGCACUCCGCCUGGGGAGUACGACCGCAAGGUUGAAACUCAAAGGAAUUGACGGGGGCCCGCACAAGCGGUGGAGCAUGUGGUUUAAUUCGAAGCAACGCGAAGAACCUUACCAGGUCUUGACAUCCUUUGACCACUCUAGAGAUAGAGCUUCCCCUUCGGGGGCAAAGUGACAGGUGGUGCAUGGUUGUCGUCAGCUCGUGUCGUGAGAUGUUGGGUUAAGUCCCGCAACGAGCGCAACCCUUAUUGUUAGUUGCCAUCAUUUAGUUGGGCACUCUAGCAAGACUGCCGGUGACAAACCGGAGGAAGGUGGGGAUGACGUCAAAUCAUCAUGCCCCUUAUGACCUGGGCUACACACGUGCUACAAUGGGAAGUACAACGAGUCGCGAAGUCGCGAGGCUAAGCUAAUCUCUUAAAGCUUCUCUCAGUUCGGAUUGUAGGCUGCAACUCGCCUACAUGAAGCCGGAAUCGCUAGUAAUCGCGGAUCAGCACGCCGCGGUGAAUACGUUCCCGGGCCUUGUACACACCGCCCGUCACACCACGAGAGUUUGUAACACCCGAAGUCGGUGAGGUAACCUUUUGGGAACCAGCCGCCUAAGGUGGAAU